UGACAUUCAGUAAAGUGUGAAAUGGAAAAUGUAAUCUUGGCAACAAAAUAAUGAGCAGGAUCAGUCUGUUGAUGUGUUCACGUACAAGAAGAAAAGCACAACCAAGAAAGCCAGCAUGCCUCCUGGAAAGCUAGAUGGUUUCAUGGUGGUGACAUCAAUCUCCAAACUAAUCUUCAAUUUCAACAAGCAGCAGGUAUAGGCCCAGCCUGUUGGCCAUUAUCUUUGGAUAUACCACAGAGACCACACCUGGCUGCCUUUUGACACUUCAUCAAUGUCACCUACAACCACACUCUUCAA
rnacentral:lncRNA from 1 species